UCUAAGGAUGAUUAAGGAUUAUUUCUUAAUCUAAAUAAUAUAACAGGUUAAUGUUGACCGUCCUCAUUUCUCUUUUUAAAAUUGUGUUUCUCCUUUUGCACAAAAGGGGCCGGUAGCUCAGUUGGUUAGAGCACACCCUUGAUAAGGGUGGGGUCGAAAGUUCGAGUCUUUCUCGGCCCACCAAUUUUCUGGGGGAUUAGCUCAGCUGGGAGAGCGCCUGAUUUGCAUUCAGGAGGUCAGCGGUUCGAUCCCGCUAUCCUCCACCAAGAAACACACAGUUAUUUUAUUAGUAAAUAUUUUAUUAUUAUCAAUAUCUAUAUCCGAUUGUUCAAAGAUCUGAACAAUCAAAUAAUAUUCGAAUAGAUGAAUAUUUUAAAAAAUUUGAUUCAACACAGAAUUUUUUUCUGUGCAUAAAU
rnacentral:tRNA from 1 species